rnacentral:rRNA from 1 species
AUACGGAGGAUGCAAGCGUUAUCCGGAUUUAUUGGGUUUAAAGGGUGCGUAGGCGGUUUGCUAAGCGGGAGGUGAAAUGCCGGCGCUCAACGUCGGAAGUGCCUCCCGAACUGGUGGACUUGAAUGACUCUGCCGUGGGGGGCAUGUGUAGUGUAGCGGUGAAAUGCUUAGAGAUUACACAGAACACCGAUUGCGAAGGCAUCUCACGAAGGGUUGAUUGACGCUGAGGCACGAAAGCGUGGGGAUCAAACAGGAUUAGAUACCCUGGUAGUCCACGCAGUAAACGAUGAUGGCUAACCGCUGGGCUUAUCAGUUCAGUGGCCAAGCGAAAGCGAUAAGCCAUCCACCUGGGGAGUACGACCGCAAGGUUGAAACUCAAAGGAAUUGACGGGG